rnacentral:rRNA from 1 species
GAUGAACGCUGGCGGCGUGCCUAAUACAUGCAAGUCGAGCGAACAGACGAGGAGCUUGCUCCUCUGACGUUAGCGGCGGACGGGUGAGUAACACGUGGAUAACCUACCUAUAAGACUGGGAUAACUUCGGGAAACCGGAGCUAAUACCGGAUAAUAUAUUGAACCGCAUGGUUCAAUAGUGAAAGACGGUUUUGCUGUCACUUAUAGAUGGAUCCGCGCCGCAUUAGCUAGUUGGUAAGGUAACGGCCUACCAAGGCAACGAUGCGUAGCCGACCUGAGAGGGUGAUCGGCCACACUGGAACUGAGACACGGUCCAGACUCCUACGGGAGGCAGCAGUAGGGAAUCUUCCGCAAUGGGCGAAAGCUUGACGGAGCAACGCCGCGUGAGUGAUGAAGGUCUUCGGAUCGUAAAACUCUUUUAUUAGGGAAGAACAAAUGUGUAAGUAACUAUGCACGUCUUGACGGUACCUAAUCAGAAAGCCACGGCUAACUACGUG